UUGAACGCUGGCGGCAUGCCUUACACAUGCAAGUCGAACGGCAGCACGGGUGCUUGCACCUGGUGGCGAGUGGCGAACGGGGGAGUAAUACAUCGGAACAUGUCCUGUAGUGGGGGAUAGCCCGGCGAAAGCCGGAUUAAUACCGCAUACGAUCCACGGUUGAAAGCGGGAGACCUUCGGGCCUCGCGCUAUAGGGUUGGCCCAUGGCUGAUUAGCUAGUUGGUGGGGUAAAGGCCUACCAAGGCGACGAUCAGUAGCAGGCCUGAGAGGAUGACCAGCCACACUGGAACUGAGAAACGGCCCAGACUACUGAGGGCGGCAGCAGUAGGGAAUCUUGCGCAAUGGGCGAAAGCCUGAUGGAGCAACGCCGCGUGAGUGAUGAAGGUCUUCGGAUCGUAAAACUCUGUUAUUAGGGAAGAACAAAUGUGUAAGUAACUAUGCACGUCUUGACGGUACCUAAACAGAAAGCCACGGCUAACUACGUG
rnacentral:rRNA from 1 species